GCCUAACACAUGCAAGUCGUGCGCGAAGGUGGCUUCGGCUACCGGAGAGCGGCGAACGGGUGAGUAACACGUGGGUGAUCUGCCUGGAAGUGGGGGAUAACCUGGGGAAACUCGGGCUAACACCGCAUAAGUCGGCAAGGUUAUGGCCUUGCCAAGAAAACCGGCCUCUACUUGUAAGCUGGUGCUUCCAGAGGAGCCCGCGGCUGAUUAGCUAGUUGGUGAGGUAAUGGCUCACCAAGGCGACGAUCAGUAGCCGGCCUGAGAGGGUGAUCGGCCACACUGGGACUGAGACACGGCCCAGACUCCUACGGGAGGCAGCAGUGGGGAAUAUUGGACAAUGGGGGCAACCCUGAUCCAGCAACGCCGCGUGGAGGACGAAGGUUUUCGGAUUGUAAACUCCUGUCAGAGGGGACGAAGGCUCCUGGGUCAACAGCCCGUGGAGCUUGACGGUACUCUCAGAGGAAGCCCCGGCUAACUCUGUGCCAGCAGCCGCGGUAAU
rnacentral:rRNA from 1 species